AUAUUUGGGUAAAGUACCACAGACUAUAUUUUAAGUGAAAUAAGUUAUAUUUCCUCGUUUAAUUGGCCAACACUGUAGUUAGGCUCUGGGUAUAUUUUGGCCAGGCAUCAGCGUGCUACAGUCAAAUUCAAACUUGCGAAACUAAAAAGCAAAAAGAAAGGGAACUGUUUCCUCAUGCAUACCGCCGCAAACAGCCUGUUUUCACAACGCGGACGACACCGUGUCAAAGGAAGUUAUGGAAAAGAGACUGAAAGCAGUGCACUGGUACCCCUUGCAGCAAUUGGGUAAUGUGCUGUAGUAGUGAACUUUGCAAUAAAGUUUUAUCUCUGUUCAUAUUGCUUUCAGAUGUUAUAAAUGUGAUUUCCACAUCACACACAUACCAU